rnacentral:lncRNA from 1 species
ACAUGUGGGACACGGAUGAGAUCAUCAGCGCUCAACCCAUCAGGCAUCCUGACUCAGAUGCAGUAGGACAAGGUGGAGAAGAUGCCGCUGUCCCGUCGGUCUGGGGACAGCCCAGCUCCCCGGAUCCCGGGCUGGAGAGACGCGUCGCGGCCCCGGGGCCUGGUGGCACGAGCAGGAAGGAGGACCCGGCGGCGGGCUCUGCCUGGGCUUGCCUGGGCUUGUUCCGAGCCGGGCUGCUUCUCGGUGACCACGCAGAUCGGGGGCAUUUGGAGAUUUUGCGGGAGUCCUGCAGCCAAGCUCCGGGGCAGGAGAGGCCUGGAAGCCUGCACUACCUGCUCGCCCCGUCCCAGCGUGCACCCAGGUAAACGCUUGUGUUUCUCAGUCCGUGCGAAAGUUUGCAAAGAAGGAGGCGGGAACUAGACCAACAACUUUAAUAAUCAUAGUCAUAAUAACCAAAACCCUGUUCAAUUGUGUAGCCUCCGUAAGGGGAAGAAUUUCCAAGAAGCAACAAAAUGUUCUUUGAUUUCAU